rnacentral:rRNA from 1 species
AUUGAACGCUGGCGGCAUGCCUUACACAUGCAAGUCGAACGGCAGCGGGGGAGAAGCUUGCUUUUCCUGCCGGCGAGUGGCGAACGGGUGAGUAAUACAUCGGAACGUGCCCUGUAGUGGGGGAUAACUAGUCGAAAGAUUAGCUAAUACCGCAUACGACCUGAGGGUGAAAGUGGGGGACCGCAAGGCCUCAUGCUAUAGGAGCGGCCGAUGUCUGAUUAGCUAGUUGGUGGGGUAAAGGCCUACCAAGGCGAAGAUCAGUAGCUGGGCUGAGAGGCCGAUCAGCCACACUGGGACUGAGACACGGCCCAGACUCCUACGGGAGGCAGCAGUGGGGAAUUUUGGACAAUGGGCGAAAGCCUGAUCCAGCAAUGCCGCGUGUGUGAAGAAGGCCUUCGGGUUGUAAAGCACUUUUGUCCGGAAAGAAAUGGCUCUGGUUAAUACCUGGGGUCGAUGACGGUACCGGAAGAAUAAGGACCGGCUAACUACGUGCCAGCAGCCGCAGUAA